UGGGGAAUUUUGGACAAUGGGCGAAAGCCUGAUCCAGCAAUGCCGCGUGUGUGAAGAAGGCCUUCGGGUUGUAAAGCACUUUUGUCCGGAAAGAAAUCCUUGGCUCUAAUACAGUCGGGGGAUGACGGUACCGGAAGAAUAGGCACCGGCUAACUACGUGCCAGCAGCCGCGGUAAUACGUAGGGUGCAAGCGUUAAUCGGAAUUACUGGGCGUAAAGCGUGCGCAGGCGGUUUGCUAAGACCGAUGUGAAAUCCCCGGGCUCAACCUGGGAACUGCAUUGGUGACUGGCAGGCUAGAGUAUGGCAGAGGGGGGUAGAAUUCCACGUGUAGCAGUGAAAUGCGUAGAGAUGUGGAGGAAUACCGAUGGCGAAGGCAGCCCCUGGGCCAAUACUGACGCUCAUGCACGAAAGCGUGGGGAGCAAACAGGAUUAGAUACCCUGGUAGUCCAGCGCCCUAAACGAUGUCAACUAGUUGUUGGGGAUUCAUUCCUUAGUAACGUAGCUAACGCGUGAAGUUGACCGCCU
rnacentral:rRNA from 1 species